AAAUUUGGUUGAUGCUGACAGAAUUCCUUCAGUGUUUCCGCUGACUAAAUUAUUUAUCACACACUGUGUCUGGCAACCUAAAAUUUUACCGGUCAUAAAUUAAAUUUGCCGGUUAUAUCCUAUUACCAUACUGUAAGUACUCAUUUUAAAGUUAUUUUUAGCCUGGGUAUUUCCCAAACAUAACAACUUUUGCAACCAUGAAAGCACAGCCAAGACUGAUUUCGCUUACCCAUGAUUUUUUUAUUUUAAUACAUAAUUAUUUACCAGACACAGUGUCCGGUUGGCUUUCAAUAUACCGGUCCCCAACAAAUUUUACCAGCGAUUUUCAGGUAUAUACCAGAGAAUGGAAA